rnacentral:rRNA from 1 species
CAUGGGUGGCGGACGGGUGAGUAACGCGUGGGCAACCUGGCCUGUACAGGGGAUAACACUUAGAAAUAGGUGCUAAUACCGCAUAACGGGGGAAGCCGCAUGGCUUUUCCCUGAAAACUCCGGUGGUACAGGAUGGGCCCGCGUCUGAUUAGCCAGUUGGCAGGGUAACGGCCUACCAAAGCGACGAUCAGUAGCCGGCCUGAGAAGGCGGACGGCCACACUGGGACUGAGACACGGCCCAGACUCCUACGGGAGGCAGCAG